rnacentral:rRNA from 1 species
UACGUAGGGUGCGAGCGUUGUCCGGAAUCAUUGGGCGUAAAGCGCGUGUAGGCGGCUGGCUAAGUCCGCUCUGAAAGCCCGGGGCUCAACCCCGGGAGGCGGGUGGAUACUGGUCAGCUCGAGUCCGGAAGAGGAGUGUGGAAUUCCUGGUGUAGCGGUGAAAUGCGCAGAUAUCAGGAGGAACACCAAUGGCGAAGGCAGCACUCUGGGACGGUACUGACGCUGAGACGCGAAAGCGUGGGGAGCAAACAGG